rnacentral:rRNA from 1 species
GAUGAACGCUAGCUACAGGCUUAACACAUGCAAGUCGAGGGGAAACGACAUCGAAAGCUUGCUUUUGAUGGGCGUCGACCGGCGCACGGGUGAGUAACGCGUAUCCAACCUGCCCACCACUUGGGGAUAACCUUGCGAAAGUAAGACUAAUACCCAAUGAUAUCUCUAGAAGACAUCUGAAAGAGAUUAAAGAUUUAUCGGUGAUGGAUGGGGAUGCGUCUGAUUAGCUUGUUGGCGGGGUAACGGCCCACCAAGGCAACGAUCAGUAGGGGUUCUGAGAGGAAGGUCCCCCACAUUGGAACUGAGACACGGUCCAAACUCCUACGGGAGGCAGCAGUGAGGAAUAUUGGUCAGUGGACGAGAGUCUGAACCAGCCAAGUAGCGUGCAGGAAGACGGCCCUAUGGGUUGUAAACUGCUUUUAUAAGGGAAUAAAGUGAGUCUCGUGAGACUUUUUGCAUGUACCUUAUGAAUAAGGACCGGCUAAUUCCGUG